AGUGAACGCUGGCGGUAGGCCUAACACAUGCAAGUCGGACGGCAGCACAGUAAGAGCUUGCUCUUACGGGUGGAGAGUGGCGGACGGGUGAGGAAUACAUCGGAAUCUACUUUUUCGUGGGGGAUAACGUAGGGAAACUUCCGCUAAUACAGCAUACGACCUACGGGUGAAAGCAGGGGAUCUGCGGACCUUGCGCGAUUGAAUGAGCCGAUCUCGGAUUCGUUCGUUGGCGGGGACAAGGCCAGCCAAGGCGACUAUCCGUAGCUGGUCCGGGAGCAUGGUCACCCACACUGGAAGUGAGACACAGUCGAGACACCUACAGGGGGAAGCAGCGGGGAAUAUUACGCGAUGGGGGAGAGCCUGAUACAGCCAUACCGGCGGAGUCAUGAAGGCCUUCGGGUGGGAAAGCCCUGUUGUUGGUAAAGAAAAGAAGCAGGUUAAUCCGCCGCGGUACUGACGGUACCCAGAGAAUAAGCACCGGCUAACUCCGUG
rnacentral:rRNA from 1 species